CCAGCGCUGUGAACUGUCUGCAGCCGUCCUCCUCACUUGAGGUCUCUCCGCUGAUCUCCAUCGUCAUCACCAGGCCAUCCAUCUCUUUGGUUCCCUCUGAAAUAUUUGGUUAAUGAAGCUUUUUUAUUUUUUUAGUUGACCCUCAAAUCAGGUCGACCUGCUCUGAGCCACAAAGCAAAGAGAGAAAAAAAAUGUCAACUGAUUUGACAGAAGUGGAGUACAUUUAGGUGGAUAAACCAGCCAGAAAGCAGGACUGUUGAGGUUCAAACACAAUGAGUAAGGGGAAUAAACACCAGAGGAAAGGAUAGGGUUGGAGUUUUUGAAAUCCAUCUUAAUGCAAUAUAAUCACAUCCCACGUGUAUGCUGAAAGAUUUAUUGUUUGCUGUAAUCAUUCUUCUCCAUCCUGAGAGUGAAGCAAUGCUUUCAUGGAUUGACUGUAAUGGGCAGGGGUCAGCAACAUUUAUUAUCAAAAGAGCCAUUUUAGGCAAAAA